GACGAACGCUGGCGGCGUGCUUAACACAUGCAAGUCGAACGGAAAGGCCCUGCUUUUGUGGGGUGCUCGAGUGGCGAACGGGUGAGUAACACGUGAGUAACCUGCCCUUGACUUUGGGAUAACUUCAGGAAACUGGGGCUAAUACCGGAUAGGAGCUCCUGCUGCAUGGUGGGGGUUGGAAAGUUUCGGCGGUUGGGGAUGGACUCGCGGCUUAUCAGCUUGUUGGUGGGGUAGUGGCUUACCAAGGCUUUGACGGGUAGCCGGCCUGAGAGGGUGGCCGGCCACAUGGGGACUGAGAGACGGCCCAGACUCCUAGGGGAGGCAGCAGGGGGGAAUAUUGCACAAGGGGCGGAAGCCGGAUGCAGCAACGCCGCGUGCGGGAUGACGGCCUUCGGGUUGUAAACCGCUUUCGCCUGUGACGAAGCGUGAGUGACGGUAAUGGGUAAAGAAGCACCGGCUAACUACGUG
rnacentral:rRNA from 1 species